rnacentral:lncRNA from 1 species
AAUUCCACCCAAAACAAGCAAAGGAGAGGUCACCAACGUCCAUAUGAGGACAAUCACAACAAUAGUUCCAAACGGUAAUGCUGCAGUAGCACUAUACACAAUGGCAACAGUGUUGAGGAAGCAGAAUGUCAGGAACAGAGGUCCACAGAAAAGGCAUCCUGUCAAUAGCAAAUUUCUUACCUGCCAGUCAAAAAGGAAGAUAUUUGUAACCUUAUAUAUAGGUCGAUUGUUACAUUUUCUAAAUUAAGCAUAUGCAUGAAAUAUGAAGCUAUGCAUCACAGAAAAAAAAAGCUGUGAAAAACAAGCAGAAAAAGACAUACCCAAUUUGUCCCUUCGAGCUGACAAUAGAAUGAGGUUGCAGCAUAUCCAGCAAUGCCCGAGGUAAGUGCAUAAAUGAUCACAAGAGCAGUAAAAAGAGCACCACGAUUGUAGGGGUAAAACACCCCAACAAGUGCA